GACUCUGGCCGAGCGAUCGCCUUUUUUCUUCCCACUGGAAGGAAGGGGGAGGAAAGUCCGGACACUAGGGGACAAUCGGACCAAGUAAUGCUUGGGCUUUUUCUUUCUAGAAAUAGGAAGGAAGGGACGGAAAGUGCAACAGAAAGAAUACCGCCUACUCUUUGGUAGGUAAGGGUGAAAUGGUGGGGUAAGAGCCCACCGCUUUGUUUGUAAAAACAAAGGCUUGGUAAACCCUCCGAUGUGCAAUCUCAAGUAAACAACCGUUAUGAGCCUGUCCCGCCAGGUUGUGGGUAGAGAGCAUUAGAUAAAUGAUCGCCUAAAACAGAAUCCGGCUUACGGGCCAGAGUCACUU
rnacentral:RNase_P_RNA from 1 species